GAGGGUGUAGCUCAGGGCUAGAGCACAUGUUUAGCAUGCACAAGGUCCUGGGUUCAACCCCCAGUGCCUCCC
rnacentral:tRNA from 1 species